ACCAAUAUCAACAAGAAACGACUGGUUCACAGUGACAAAACAGCAGGGGAACAUAUAGAUUACUGUCGUUUUCUGGAUUUUGUUCGUGUGUAGACAGUCUUUGUUUGUUCUAUGAUGAAAGUAAUCUGCAAAUGACUUCGAGCGAAGAGCGCCUGUGCAGACCGCGCGGAAGAGGCGAGCGGCCAAUGCACCGGAGCACCCUGACUCUCGGCGACCGCAACACAUGCUUUUACUCUACAACACAUACAGAGAGUUUUUCUAGAAGAGGACAUGAUGGUCAAGCACUGAUCUUUCCACACCGAAAUCCAUGUUAUCCCUCUCAGCAUAAUGGAAAGCUGGACCUCAAAAACAUCCCUGUGACACAAGGACAGACACACUCCAGAGAUGAAUAUGGCCCAAAGAGAUCAUACCACAUUACGUCCUACAUCAAGCAGGGCUACGGAACAGAAGACAGAACCGCCAGGGCUUUGUGAUGAAAGAAGUCACCAACCCCACUGAGCCCACACCAUACCAGAGCACAUAUCACACAGCACACUGCAGCAGAUACCAAACAAAUGAAGACACCAGUGGACGGCCAGUCUAUUGGCACAGCCAUAACAUUAUCACAGGACAGGAGGAGGCUGCAGCUGGGCCUGGGAGACCCAGAAGACAGUCUGGCGAGAGUGUUUUGUGGGAAGCUCGACGUUGGGAGACACAUCACGACUCGUUACGUUUGUACUAAACUGCUCAACUGCAACAUGAGACCAGUAAACAGUUAAUAAAUGUUCUCUAUUAUGCUGGUUAGCAGUCAAAUAUUACGAACAAACCUUCAAAAUUAGGUCUCUGUGGAGAAAAAAAAAAAACAUUUAAAAUAAGCAUGAGCAAAUAAUUGGUUUGUUACAUUUCUAUAAAUUAUAUAAAAAUUAAAUUUGGGUUAUUUUUAUUUAUUUUAGUAUGAUUUAUACACCGAAUGAGCCACAACAUAUGACCACAUACCUAAUAUGAUGUUGGUCCUCUAUAAGUUUCUAAAACAGUCCCAAACACCGGCAAGACCCCUGAAGAUAGUCCUUUCAUAGUUGGCACCAAGAAACUGACAGCAGAUCCUUCAAGUUCUGCGAGUAUUGAGGUGAACAUUUUUGAGGUUGAUUUGUUGGGUUAAUAAACCCCACACACAGAUUCUCAAUUGGAGUGAGAUCUGGUGAAUUUGGAGGCCAGGGAAACAUCUUGAACUCUUGUGUUCUUCAAAGGGUUCCCACUUUCAUGAAGGGCAGAUUCAAGGACUAACAUUUGAAAUCAAGUACCAUUGUAAUUUACACCCCCAGUAAGUGUAGUGCCAUGUAUGUCCUUACCGUUCUUAACAUUUCACUUACACUUAAUUUAAAUGUGGGUAGGUUUUCCAGAGAUGUUUGUCGUUCAAAAGCAGCAGUUUCCUAAAUGUUGAUCAAAUUUGCGUUACUAGUCGUAGUUCUUGUACAGGAUUUAAAUUGUAAGAUUUAUGAAUUAAGAUUUUUUUUUUUUACAGCAGCACAGUACAAUUGUUGAACUAACACUAUCAACACAUUUAAUUUUAAAUUUAAUUCAAGCACUUUUAAGGACCUGUGUGUUUAAGCACUUUCCAGGCCUUGAGAUCCUAUGUUUGAAAUUCAAAUACUAAAGUGUAGGAAAUGGAAACCCAGUCUUCAACCCUUCCUCUGGGAAACCCCAUUACCAUUAUGAUCUUAAAAAUGUUUAGUGGGUAGCAAGUGUGAUAUUUUCGUCUCCAACACCCUGAACAUCACAAUCCCUCCACUACGUACCAUUAUCCUUCAGUGCAUGUUGGUGUAUUACCUCCGAUAUUUCUUUGGCAUUUUAGAAUGACCAAAACAACAUUUCAGAUAUUUUACAAUGUGUUCAGCUUGCUGGUUUAUCCAUUCACACACAUUUUUUAAUCACCACAUAAUCUUUUUUUUAUUGUGCAUACUGGAAUUUGUUCAGUAAAAGUGUUACCAUCAUAGUUUAUGCGCAUCUUUUCUUAUCACAUAAAAAGUUUAUUCUACUCAAUUUUCAACAUUUAUGCGCAUCUUGCCGUUUGCAUCAACUGUUUUAUCAUGUGCAUGUCCAAAAUGCAUGUGAAAUAGGUGGAUGGACACAUAGCUACUCUCACCUACCCACACUUUAACAUGUGCUAUUGUUAGGAGGUAAUAUAAUAUUCACCUCACCUGUGUCAAUAUUUGAGCUCAUCAUUGUAUAUUGCGUUUCCACUUGCACCACAAUAUUUGUCAGUUACCCAUAUGCCCGACCAUUAUAAACAUACUCGGUAAGUAAACAGCAUCAUGCAUUGCGUGAUAAACUACUAAGCGUUGUUCUGCCUACUUAUGCCAUCUAAACUAUAGAAAAUGUGCAUUUUACUCCACUAAAUCUUGUAGGAGGAAGCAGGAAAAAUUGUACUAGCUUGACAAACUGAAUAAAAAGGCUCUAUUCUGAUU